GGUCCUACGGGGGGCAGCAGUAGGGAAUCUUUCACAAUGGGCGAAAGCCUGAUGGAGCAACGCCGCGUGCAGGAUGAAGGCCUUCGGGUUGUAAACUGCUUUUAUAAGCGAGAAAUAUGAUGGUAACUUAAGAAUAAGCAUCGGCUAACUCCGUGCCAGCAGCCGCGGUAAUACGGAGGAUGCGAGCGUUAUCCGGAUUUAUUGGGUUUAAAGGGUGCGUAGGCGGAUUUUUAAGUCAGCGGUAAAAUGUCCGGGCUCAACCCGGGCCGGCCGUUGAAACUGGGGAUCUUGAGUGGGCGAGAAGU
rnacentral:rRNA from 1 species